CUUUAAAAUGGAUUCUAGAGGCUUGAAGGGGGAGCUCCCAUGCAGUACCACUCCAGGUCAAUUACAAGAAAGAUAGUAAAUUACAGACCCCAACAGAAAGAAGUCAUCAACAGAAAGAAUCAUCAAUUACAGGGCCCAAC